rnacentral:rRNA from 1 species
AUGAACGCUGGCGGCGUGCCUAAUACCUGCAAGUCGAGCGAACGGACGAGAAGCUUGCUUCUCUGAUGUUAGCGGCGGACGGGUGAGUAACACGUGGAUAACCUACCUAUAAGACUGGGAUAACUUCGGGAAACCGGAGCUAAUACCGGAUAAUAUUUUGAACCGCAUGGUUCAAAAGUGAAAGACGGUCUUGCUGUCACUUAUAGAUGGAUCCGCGCUGCAUUAGCUAGUUGGUAAGGUAACGGCUUACCAAGGCAACGAUGCAUAGCCGACCUGAGAGGGUGAUCGGCCACACUGGAACUGAGACACGGUCCAGACUCCUACGGGAGGCAGCAGUAGGGAAUCUUCCGCAAUGGGCGAAAGCCUGACGGAGCAAAGCCGCGUGAGUGAUGAAGGUCUUCGGAUCGUAAAACUCUGUUAUUAGGGAAGAACAUAUGUGUAAGUAACUGUGCACAUCUUGACGGUACCUAAUCAGAAAGCCACGGCUAACUACGUG